UACGAAGGGGGCUAGCGUUGUUCGGAAUUACUGGGCGUAAAGCGUAGGUAGGCGGUUUUUCAAGUCAGGGGUGAAAUCCCAGAGCUCAACUCUGGAAUUGCCUUUGAAACUGAAAGGCUAGAGAAAGUUAGAGGCAAGUGGAAUUCCUAGUGUAGGAGUGAAAUCCGUAGAUAUUAGGAGGAACAUCAAUGGCGAAGGCAGCUUGCUGGGACUUUUCUGACGCUGAGCUACGAAAGCGUGGGUAGCAAACAGG
rnacentral:rRNA from 1 species